GGCCUCCAAUAGCCACUCCAUAGCUUCAGUAGAUAAUUUGCUCUUGAGAUACAGCACAAGAGGGUAUUGCCAUAGAUAAAAGACAUGAAACUUUAAGAAAAUAAGCAGUAAUGCAGUAUAUAUUUCAAAUAUCAAGAAACUAAUGCAGUAUAUAUUUCAAAGACUAAUUUCUCAAAAGGGUCUGAAGUCAAUGAAAAUCUGACAAAG